UGGGGGAUAUUGCGCAAUGGGGGCAACCCUGACGCAGCAACGCCGCGUGAAGGAUGAAGGUUUUCGGAUUGUAAACUUCUUUUAUUAAGGACGAAAAAUGACGGUACUUAAUGAAUAAGCUCCGGCUAACUACGUGCCAGCAGCCGCGGUAAUACGUAGGGAGCAAGCGUUGUCCGGAUUUACUGGGUGUAAAGGGUGCGUAGGCGGCUUUGCAAGUCAGAUGUGAAAUCUAUGGGCUCAACCCAUAAACUGCAUUUGAAACUGUAGAGCUUGAGUGAAGUAGAGGCAGGCGGAAUUCCCCGUGUAGCGGUGAAAUGCGUAGAGAUGGGGAGGAACACCAGUGGCGAAGGCGGCCUGCUGGGCUUUAACUGACGCUGAGGCACGAAAGCGUGGGUAGCAAACAGGAUUAGAUACCCUGGUAGUCCACGCUGUAAACGAUGAUUACUAGGUGUGGGGGGUCUGACCCCUUCCGUGCCGGAGUUAACACAAUAAGUAAUCCACCUGGGGAGUACGGCCGCAAGGUUGAAACUCAAAGGAAUUGACGGGGGCCCGCACAAGCAGUGGAGUAUGUGGUUUAAUUCGAAGCAACGCGAAGAACCUUACCAGGUCUUGACAUCCAACUAACGAAGUAGAGAUACAUUAGGUGCCCUUCGGGGAAAGUUGAGACAGGUGGUGCAUGGUUGUCGUCAGCUCGUGUCGUGAGAUGUUGGGUUAAGUCCCGCAACGAGCGCAACCCUUGCUAUUAGUUGCUACGCAAGAGCACUCUAAUAGGACUGCCGUUGACAAAACGGAGGAAGGUGGGGACGACGUCAAAUCAUCAUGCCCCUUAUGACCUGGGCUACACACGUACUACAAUGGAUGUUAACAGAGGGAAGCAAGACAGCGAUGUGGAGCAAACCCCUAAAAACAUUCUCAGUUCAGAUUGCAGGCUGCAACCCGCCUGCAUGAAGAUGGAAUUGCUAGUAAUCGCAGAUCAGCAUGCCGCGGUGAAUACGUUCCC
rnacentral:rRNA from 1 species